CUGUCUGAGUAAUCUAUGUUGAACAGUGAACAUUUCUGAAACUGUCCAAGAAAUGUUAAACUAUACGGAUUUAAAAAUGUGUGUUUAAUAGUUGCACAAUUUGGUUACCCUCUAUCAAAUUCUUCGUGUUCAUUUUGGUGCAACACACAUUCACAUGAGUAUUUUACCAUACACUACCCAAUAUACACAGUUUGGUAAAUUGUUUUAUGUGAUGGUAUAUGUAAACGAUACGGCCUUGCAAAGUUUUCAUAAUUUUUUCUGCCAUUUUAAUUCUCUCAAUAAAAUUAGUACACACUGUCGUCUUGUGAAAUAUUUAUUAACGUAAAAACUGGUGAUAUAUGGUAUAGAAAAAUUAAGGUCGCAAUGUUUAUUACUCAUCCCGUGCCUUCAGCUACGGAGGAAUCAGAAAAAUAUUAUCAGAUUAGUCUAGCCAACCAGCAAAAAGCCGGAAACGAUAUCGUCAACUAUAUGGAAUCUACUUCCACCGUAUCCCUAAUAGCGCUAGCGCACAAUCGACAAGAGUAACAGUUGCAGCAAGUUCAAGAAAGUGCCAUGACAAUCGCAAUUGUUGAUCCGGUCGCCGGAGUGAUGCCGAAUGCCGUCCAACCCAAAGGAAAGUUAAGUUAAUACGUUUUCCAAAACAGCUUGUAAAGUUGUUUGUUGUCCGGGGAUACCAUCCGGAAGUACUUCUUCGGCAUUUCGCUAACCGCUCCACAAAGUGACCGGGAUGAAAACCAAAACAGCAGACAAAAAUAUUAACAUCCAGUGCGUGAAUCAAUUUGGACCUAAAAGGAAGGAUAAAAGAUGAAGGUUCUUGACGAAUUGAAGUGCCGAAAGUUAGCCGCAUCCAACAUCCAACGCAACCAGUGCAUCGAUUGUCACGACCUUUUCUGUUCAAGAAACCAUCCUGCAUCCGGCAAGUGUUCCUCCCCUGAUGAAUCCAAAAUAGGACAAGCGGAAUCAAUCCUGGAGUCACAUCCUGGCAUGUGCUUGUGAUGUUGUUGAGCGUGUUUUUGAAUAAGGACGUAAGUGAUAUAAUUGAUUUCUCUUCGUUGAACCUCUCUUCAAUUGAUAGCACUUUUUCACAUAAGGACGCUUAGCAGGAAUGCAAUCUAACAUCCUAAGGUGAAAAUCUGCGAAGAUACUUGUCACCUUUAUAAAUACUUACGCCCUUAUUCACGCCUGAAGUAUAAAUUUCAAUUUCGACAGUCUUAUGAAGAAUCUAUUUUAUGCAGCGAUGCGAAAUGCAAUUGAGUUUUGCUUGUUUUAUUUAG